AAUGCAUCGGGAUCUACCCUGACGUGGGGGAUAACCUCGGGAAACCGGGACUAAUACCGCAUACGUCCUACGGGAGAAAGCGGGGGACCUUCGGGCCUCGCGCGGCAGGACGAACCGAUGUGCGAUUAGCUUGUUGGCGGGGUAAAGGCCCACCAAGGCGACGAUCGCUAGCUGGUCUGAGAGGAUGAUCAGCCACACUGGGACUGAGACACGGCCCAGACUCCUACGGGAGGCAGCAGUGGGGAAUAUUGGACAAUGGGCGCAAGCCUGAUCCAGCAAUGCCGCGUGUGUGAAGAAGGCCUUCGGGUUGUAAAGCACUUUUAUCAGGAGCGAAAUACUACGGGUUAAUAACUCGUGGGGCUGACGGUACCUGAGGAAUAAGCACCGGCUAACUUCGUGCCAGCAGCCGCGGUAAUACGAAGGGUGCAAGCGUUAAUCGGAAUUACUGGGCGUAAAGGGUGCGUAGGCGGUUAUUUAAGUCUGCCGUGAAAUCCCCGGGCUCAACCUGGGAAUGGCGGUGGAUACUGGAUAGCUAGAGUGUGUCAGAGGAUGGUGGAAUUCCCGGUGUAGCGGUGAAAUGCGUAGAGAUCGGGAGGAACAUCAGUGGCGAAG
rnacentral:rRNA from 1 species